UGGAGGGUUAGGGGGCAGGCUACACAUGCAGUCGAGCGGAUGAAGGGAGCUUGCUCCUGGAUUCAGCGGCGGACGGGUGAGUAAUGCCUAGGAAUCUGCCUGGUAGUGGGGGAUAACGUCCGGAAACGGGCGCUAAUACCGCAUACGUCCUGAGGGAGAAAGUGGGGGAUCUUCGGACCUCACGCUAUCAGAUGAGCCUAGGUCGGAUUAGCUAGUUGGUGGGGUAAAGGCCUACCAAGGCGACGAUCCGUAACUGGUCUGAGAGGAUGAUCAGUCACACUGGAACUGAGACACGGUCCAGACUCCUACGGGAGGCAGCAGUGGGGAAUAUUGGACAAUGGGCGAAAGCCUGAUCCAGCCAUGCCGCGUGUGUGAAGAAGGUCUUCGGAUUGUAAAGCACUUUAAGUUGGGAGGAAGGGCAGUAAGUUAAUACCUUGCUGUUUUGACGUUACCAACAGAAUAAGCACCGGCUAACUUCGUGCCAGCAGCCGCGGUAA
rnacentral:rRNA from 1 species